rnacentral:Y_RNA from 1 species
AUCGCAGAUACUUCUCUUUGGGUCGCCGGUUCGAAUCCGGCUCGGUCGCAAGGCCGGAAGCUCAGAUGGGUAGAGCAAAAGACAAACCUGUGCUGCUAUCGC